AACCGAGGGAAGGUAGCUCAGGGAGGGAGGUCAAGCCGGUAGUCUAUCUGUGGUAUAGCAGCCGCACACACCUUGUUGGAUUGAAAUCUGUGGAUUUAUUCCCUGUGAGCGCCAGCGACUGAGAACGAGGAUGUGAGUACCUGGCUAGCCUUUCACCUCGUGUAUUCGAGAAGGAUGAGGAGCGAAGCAAUGGGGCAGAGAGUCAGCGAGCCAGCGAGUCAGCAGUGGACGCUCUUAAUAUACAGCAGAAGAAACAAGCCUGGGAGGAAAUAUGCUGAAAUGGAGAGUUGAGGAAGUGGGCCAGACAUCAGCUCACGACAUUGUUGGAACACGCGGUGUUGCCGCUUCUUCCAUGUCAAGAGCGUAUGGCUUGAGAUACCGGGUAUUUAGCAGUUCUUUUAUUUCCGCUUGUAAAUAAACAAAAAGUACUUCUUAUUCUAUUAGCUAAACUAAGACAAUAAAUGUGAACAGUCAA